rnacentral:rRNA from 1 species
AGAGUUUGAUCAUGGCUCAGGAUGAACGCUGGCUGUGUGCCUAAUACAUGCAUGUUGAACGAAGCUAAAAGUGCUUGCACUUUAAGACUUAGUAGCGAAUGGGUGAGUAACACGUACUUAACCUACCCCCAAGUUUGGGAUAACGUUUGGAAACGAACGUUAAUACCGAAUACGUAUUUUUAUCGCAUGAUAGAAAUAUAAAAGGAGCUUCGGCUUCGCUAGGGGAUGGGAGUGCGCUACAUUAGUUAGUUGGUAGGGUAAUGGCCUACCAAGACUAUGAUGUAUAGCGGGGCCGAGAGGCUGAUCCGCCACACUGGGACUGAGAUACGGCCCAGACUCCUACGGGAGGCAGCAGUAGGGAAUUUUCCACAAUGAACGAAAGUUUGAUGGAGCGACACAGCGUGCAGGAUGAAGGUCUUCGGAUCGUAAACUGCUGUUAUAAGGGAAGAAAAACUUUAGUAGGUAAUGACCAGGACUUGACAGUACCUUAUCAGAAAGCGACGGCUAACUAUGUGCCAGCAGCCGCGGUAAU